rnacentral:rRNA from 1 species
UACGUAGGUGGCGAGCGUUGUCCGGAUUUACUGGGCGUAAAGAGCGCGCAGGCGGUCGUACAAGUCGCGUGUGAAAGCCCCCGGCUCAACUGGGGAGGGUCACGCGAUACUGUUCGACUCGAAGGCAGGAGAGGGUAGUGGAAUUCCCGGUGUAGUGGUGAAAUGCGUAGAUAUCGGGAGGAACACCAGUGGCGAAGGCGGCGCUCUGGAACGUUUCUGACACUGAGGCUCGAAAGCGUGGGGAGCAAACAGG